AUUGAACGCUGGCGGAAUGCUUUACACAUGCAAGUCGAACGGUAGAGGGGGCAACCCCUCGAGAGUGGCGAACGGGUGAGUAAUAUAUCGGAACGUGCCCAGUCGUGGGGGAUAACGUAGCGAAAGUUACGCUAAUACCGCAUACGAUCUAUGGAUGAAAGCGGGGGAUCGCAAGACCUCGCGCGAUUGGAGCGGCCGAUAUCAGAUUAGGUAGUUGGUGGGGUAAAGGCUCACCAAGCCGACGAUCUGUAGCUGGUCUGAGAGGACGACCAGCCACACUGGGACUGAGACACGGCCCAGACUCCUACGGGAGGCAGCAGUGGGGAAUUUUGGACAAUGGGCGAAAGCCUGAUCCAGCCAUUCCGCGUGCAGGAUGAAGGCCCUCGGGUUGUAAACUGCUUUUGUACAGAACGAAAAGGUUUCUACUAAUACUAGGAGCUCAUGACGGUACUGUAAGAAUAAGCACCGGCUAACUACGUGCCAGCAGCCGCGGUAA
rnacentral:rRNA from 1 species